UAGCAAAUGCAUUGGCUCUAUGGCGAAACUUUGUGGGACUCUAGCAGCUGUAUUUCAGAAUGAAGCAAGCAAGUUUUUGCUUAUAUAGAUACUUCUUAAGAGCCUUCAGUGCAACAUAACAUUUAUUUAAGAUCGCUCGGGAUUCCAUUACUCACAAAAUACGCAACACAGACUAAAA